GAUGAACGCUGGCGGUAUGCUUAACACAUGCCAGUCGAACGGACUCUUCGGAGUUAGUGGCGGACGGGUGAGUAACGCGUGAGAAUCUGGCUUUGGGUUCGGGACAACCACUGGAAACGGUGGCUAAUACCGGAUGUGCCGAGAGGUAAAAGAGAAAUUGCCUGAAGAUGAGCUCGCGUCUGAUUAGCUAGUUGGUGAGGUAAAGGCUCACCAAGGCAGCGAUCAGUAGCUGGUCUGAGAGGAUGACCAGCCACACUGGGACUGAGACACGGCCCAGACUCCUACGGGAGGCGGCAGUGGGGAAUUUUCCGCAAUGGGCGAAAGCCUGACGGAGCAAUACCGCGUGAGGGAAGAAGGCUCUUGGGUUGUAAACCUCUUUUCUUAGGGAAGAACAAAAUGACGGUACCUAAGGAAUCAGCAUCGGCUAACUCCGUG
rnacentral:rRNA from 1 species